UGACGGCAAACCAUUUUUUAAUUGGAUAAAAAAUAAAUAUGUUUUUAUAAUAGUUUGCAUAAUGAAAAGGUCUUUUUUUGAAAAACAUUGACAGUUAACGUAUGCAUAAAAUGUAAGAUAAACGCGGCUACAAAAAUUAUCAUUUCCGGAAUGAAAUUUAUUUGGCGAAAUAUGAAAUUGGAACCAAAUUUACGAACUCCGAUGCAAAAACAUAAGCACGUCAAGGGCCAGCAUGAUGCGAUAAAAUUUCUGUUUACAUUUUUUGUGCAGUUUGGAUUGUAUUUUGUAGGCAGUUUAUUCUGCUUAAUUCUGGUAAAUAUGUUAUAAUUGAACGUGUCCUCAGGUGAAAGCCGAUAGAUUUGAAUUGUGAUUCGGCAGGAGUGAUAGUUUUUUCUUAUAUAGGCGACUAAUAUGCAUGGCCGAUAAGAAAAUCAUCCUGGUCUACAAGCGGCCUGAAUAGCAGAACAAACAGGUCGAACCUACAGACGACGACAUUCUUCAUCUAGAUUCAGGUCCAGAUCGCAAUCUCGACGUCGCACAACGUAUGGCAAAGAUGGGUCAAAUGUUAGCGAUGAUGUGAAUGAUCUCAUGAUGGCUUGGUUGCUGCUGCUGCUACUCGAAAAGCCACGCAAAUGGCAAGUACAAACAGCGCGGAACAACAGGACAAAAAAGAUGACAUUACUGCACGGUUAUUCUUGGAAAGUGCUUCAAGACAUCCUGGAUCAGGCCAGAACUGAAGCUGAUGCCGAUAUUCUUGCGAACUUGUGUGCAGCUAGUGUCACGGCCGGUGGUAGUCUGGCUGUCUCUACCCCAAAAAGGGCCUAGUGAACGAAGUUGUGUCCUAGUGGAUUGAUGUGUGAUUGUAGCGAAUAGGGCUUUAUUACAGAAGAGUCGACUCGACUCGCCCAUGUAUUUCAAAUUAGGCAAGUUGCUCUUAGAAGUUACUGUAAUAUGGCCCUAUGAUGUGAGAAUUCUCGUCAUGUACUUUGUGAGUAGAAGAUGAUGAAAAAUAAAAUACAGUUGCUAAACCAUAUUACUUGAA